AAUAUUGGACAAUGGGCGAAAGCCUGAUCCAGCCAUGACGCGUGUGUGAAGAAGGACUUCGGAUUGUAAAGCACUUCAAGUCGGGAGGAAGGGCAGUAAGUUACUACCUUGCUGUUUUGACGUUACCGACAUAAUCAGCACCGGCUACAUUCGUGUCCGCAGCCGCGGUAAUACGAAGGGUGCAAGCGUUAAUCGGAAUUACUGGGCGUAAAGCGGACGUAGGUGGUUUGUUAAGUUGGAAGGUAAAGCCCCGGGCUCAACCUGGGAACUGCUUUCAUAACUGCUGAGCUAGAGUACGGUAGAGGGUAGUGGAAUUUCCUGUGUAGCGGUGAAAUGCGUAGAUAUAGGAAGGAACACCAGUGGCGAAGGCGACUACCUGGACUGAUACUGACACUGAGGUGCGAAAGCGUGGGGAGCAAAC
rnacentral:rRNA from 1 species